rnacentral:rRNA from 1 species
UACGUAGGGUGCGAGCGUUGUCCGGAAUUACUGGGCGUAAAGAGCUCGUAGGUGGUUUGUCGCGUUGUUCGUGAAAACUCACAGCUUAACUGUGGGCGUGCGGGCGAUACGGGCAGACUGGAGUACUGCAGGGGAGACUGGAAUUCCUGGUGUAGCGGUGAAAUGCGCAGAUAUCAGGAGGAACACCGGUGGCGAAGGCGGGUCUCUGGGCCGACACUGACGCUGAGGAGCGAAAGCGUGGGGAGCGAACAGG